GAAGGGGUGACUAGUGGCAGAGUGAGGGAAGGAAGGGGUGACUAGUGGCAGAGUGAGGAAGGGGGUGACACAGUGACAGAGUGAAGGAGGUGGUGACUGUUACUAGUCACCCCAUCCCUCCCUCUGUCACUAAUCACCACCUCCCUCACUCUGUCACUAGUCACCCCAUCCCUCCCUCUGUCACUAGUCACCACCUCCCUCACUCUGUCACUAGUCACCCCUUCCCUCCCUCUCUCUGUCACUAGUCACCCCCUCUC